GGAAUGUAGCUCAGUGGUAGAUCACUUACCUAGCAUAUUGGAGGCAUGGGUUCAAUUCCCAGCACCA
rnacentral:tRNA from 1 species